ACCAUUGGGAAGUAUUCAGUAAAAGUUGCUGGUCACAAACACAGAAGCAGUGGGUCCAGGAAAGCACUGGAUUAAGGUACAGACUUCUUUGGGGGUGAGAGGAAGAUAUAUAAGAACAUGGAUAGGAAGAUAAAAGGACACAUUCAACAUAUAAAACAGAAGCUCACUAGCUCACUUGUAUGAAGAUUCUGCAUAUCCAGAGCAGAUAUUUUUGCCUUAUUCUGGAAAAAGCCAACAAACUACUACCUUCUUUGAGGCAGACAGCCAGAAUUGGACCAUUCGAAUAGUGAAAAGAUGAUAGUGUCUUUACCCUAAACCCCCUCUCUACCUCAACACCUUCCAUAUAAUUAAACAUAAAAAUAAUGUGAAACUUUAAAGUAAGAAGAAGGAAGUAUAAUGAAGUUAUAAUUUUCCUUUAAUGAAUAAUUCUUU